GAUGAACGCUGGCGGCGUGCCUAAUACAUGCAAGUCGAGCGAACAGACGAGGAGCUUGCUCCUCUGACGUUAGCGGCGGACGGGUGAGUAACACGUGGAUAACCUACCUAUAAGACUGGGAUAACUUCGGGAAACCGGAGCUAAUACCGGAUAAUAUAUUGAACCGCAUGGUUCAAUAGUGAGAGACGGUUUUGCUGUCACUUAUAGAUGGAUCCGCGCCGCAUUAGCUAGUUGGUCAGGUAACGGCUUACCAAGGCAACGAUGCGUAGCCGACCUGAGAGAGGGAUCGCCCACCCUGGAACUGAACCACGGUCCAGACUCCUACGGGAGGCAGCAGUAGGGAAUCUGACGCAAUGGGCGAAAGCAUGACGGAGCAACGCCGCGUGAGUGAUGAAGGUCUUCGGAUCGUAAAACUCUGUUAUUAGGGAAGAACAAAUGUGUAAGUAACUAUGCACGUCUUGACGGUACCUAAUCAGAAAGCCACGGCUAACUACGUG
rnacentral:rRNA from 1 species